CUCGAACCCGUGUCCCCUGCAUUGGCAGGCAGAUUCUCAACCACUGCGCAACCAGGGAAGCCCCCCACAGUCUUUUAAUUGAGAUCACACACCUGGUCUCAGAGGACUUAAUGAAGCUCAGGUUCUUGAUGUUUCAUUUCAGAAAAAAUUCAGUGAGAGACAAAGUGAUAGGUAAGAAGUGGAAUUAUUUAGAGAGAAACACAGUCCGCAGACAGAGUGUGGACCAUCUCAGAAGGCAAGAAGCCCUGAAAUAUGGGGUGGUUAGUUUUUAUGGGCUGGGUAAUUUCACAGGCUGAGUGGCAGGAUUAUUCCAAGUAUUUUGGGGAAGAGGCGGAGAUUUCCAGGAGUUGGGCCACUCCCCACUUUUUGGCCUUUUAUGGUCAGCCUCUGAACUGUCAUGGCCCUGGUGGGUGUGUCAUUUAGCAUAUGCUAAUGUAUUACAAUGAGCAUAUAAUGAGGCCCAAGGUCCACUGAAAGUCAAAUCUUCUGCCAUCUUGGACCUGGUUAGUUCUAACCAGUUUUUGUCAUGUCCUAUGGUUAUGUCAUCCUUUUAAAGGUUGUGCCCUGUUCCUUUCCUUCCUGUUUCAGUUUUAUCAAUUAAAAUUGCAAAACUUUUAAAUCGAGAAUACACAAACACAUAUUCCAUUAGCCGUCAGAGUAACGAUGUCAUACAUCACAUAACCUCUGGAAAAUUCCAGAGAGAGAGAGAGAGAGGGAGAGGGAGAGGGAGAGAGGGAGGCAAAUAACAUCUUACAAUUACUAUGAAAAUAGUUUUAACUUUGUAAAAUACCUGAAAGUGCCUUGGGGACCCUGAGGUCCCCAGACAGCAUUGGGAACUGCUGGCCUAGAAGCCCCUGUGUCCCUGUAUUCCUGACCCUGGCUGACUCUCCUAGUUCUAUCUUAAUGACCAGACUCCCUAACAUCCAUUUUCCCCUUUUCCUUUUGGUAAAAGGACCACCUAGGCUCUGGCUGAGAAAAUGACCACCCAUCUAGAGACUACAUUUCCCAGGCUCCUUUGCAGGGGAUUCUGAUGCACAAUCAAGUUUGAGGACCAGAGCUGGGAGAUGUGGAGCAACAAGAUAGAAGGAACCUGGGUCCAUGGAUCACCUCAGCAGAUACAAUGCCUGGAGCUGCGGCCUCCAUCCUGUGACCAUGAUGUAAAAGCCAAGAGAAUCAGAGAGACCUCGGUAACAGCAGCACCCACCCUCUAGACUUCUGUGGAAAAAACUUACGUGCGCACCACUGAUGGGCAGGUCUGCUGUUACUUGCAGCCAAAAGCAUUUAUAACUAAUACACUUGGUCAAGUUAUAUCACCUCUGUCUCCCCAACCGGAAUGUAGCUUCCACAGUGGCAGAAAACAUGACUUUGUUCACCACUAUGUGACCAGCCCUUCCUCUCCCAGCCAGCGCCCGGCAGACACCACACAGAUGGAAUGAGUGUUUGUGGUUAUUCAUCCAAAACCUAACAAUACCUUCCUUUUGGGUUGACUGAAAUAAUCAUGCAAAAUGCUUAAAAUAGCACUUGGUACACAGUAAGCCUUCAAAACACAGAUGUAGCUGAAUGUCUCCGCCAUGGCUACCAGGCCACCUCCCACUUCCUCCCGACUUCCCCUGGGAAGCUUUGCUCAGACAGCUGGCUCUUCAUCACAGGGUACCCCACAACUGUGCUGCAGCCAUCCAGCCCCUUUUGGUGUCACCCUUUUUGGUGACAAGGACCACGGGGAGCUUGCACCUUUGGCUAUUCUCUCUUUUCCCUGUCUACGUAAGUAACAAAUGGAAGCUAAAAGUGGGUCUUGUACCUUUACCAGUCAGUCAGUCCCAUCUUGGCCUUGACCGUGUGUCGGUGUGUGUGCUUGACCGUAAGUAUUAUGUUAUUUCCGUUACUAUCAUUAUCAUCUUUGGUCUAAGACUGCCCUCCGAGCAACUUCUCCUCUCAAAGACAAGACGCACAGCCAGAGGAAAUUCUUCAUUUUAUUUCCACUCACAACCCCCAGAAAGGAUCAGUCCCCGCCCUCCCUCACCUAGAUGCAGCCCCUCCCCCAGCACCUUCACAAAACACUGAUUUCCUCCCAGAGCUAAAAUGAACACCCAGUCACCCAUUAUGGCCAUUCCCCUCACCCGCCCACCUCCCCAGCUGCCCACUUAUCCACCUGCUCUGUGAACUCGGCCACCUUUUGGUUCCACCCCCAAAUGUAGUUCCCCAAGGUCACUUGGCUUAUUUUGCUUGUAUUCUACGGGCACCUUUCUUAAAGCCCUCCCUGACUUAGUCUCCAGAUGGCUUCCCUGUCCUCCUUUGCAUAGACGUUCUGCAGAGAUUCCUGGCCUCACUUCCCUGCUUGAGAGACCAGGUUUCCAAGCUCUCCCCUGCCCCCCCAAUUCCCCAUGGGCCUCUGUUCCUCAGCUGUUAGUUGAAGGGUAUAGAUGUUGACUAAGGCCAAACAUUCCAUGAUUCUGGGGAGGGAGGAGGGGAGCAAAUUCAGA